rnacentral:lncRNA from 1 species
GAAGCCAGAGUAGAAACCGUGGCUGAGCCCAGGCCCUGGUCUCACUCAGUGGUAACAACAGCACCUGAUGUUUCCACCACAACCCUCCUGUUUGGGGGGGAUUUAAAAAUGCCUCAACCCCACAUGGGCUUCAUGACCCCAGACUUUUUUUUCAAAUGACAUAGCCAACAGAUGGGCACACGAAAGUGUAAAAGUUACUUUUCUUUUUCAUCUGUUCGUUAUGAAGUCGGAGGAACAUUAGUCCGUUCUGCAGACAGGGAUCAUUUCUGGAUCUAAAUGCCUUCCUAAUUUUGGAGAUUCUACCUUGACGCCACUCUUUGCUUACAGAGUUGUCCUUUUAGACGAUCCCCGUGGGUGAUACCAGGGGCCUUAGAGAACCAUUUGGCCCCAGAAGCUCACCUGAGAAAUUUACCUUCUGCUGGCUUUGUGUUCAUGCACAGCACCUGGCUUAGGGCUCCGCCCACAAUGGUAACCUGGGAAGGGCUGCUGACCCUCAGUGUGGGUCUAGGCUCCAAGGGAAGGGGUGCUGAGCCUUCGGCCCAAAGACUUCAUGGAGAUUAUGAGAUCCUUCCACAGAUGAGACCUUCCGAAAUGAGGAUUCACUUAAGCUGCCUCCCUGGUUCCUCUACUCCGUGCAGGCCAUGUCCUACCCCAGCUUUCAAGCCGUCAUACCUGUACCUCAGAGAGAAAAAAGAGACUUGGGACAGCACCUGGCACAUGGAAGCAUUUGAUAAAUAUUUGCUGAAUUGA